rnacentral:tRNA from 1 species
AGUUGAAACCAAAAAGAGGUAUUUCACUGUUAAUGAAAAAACUGAACAAAAAUUCCAACUAAAGA